AAAAAAAAAAAGCGUUUAAUUUUGUUAAUUAUUUUUUUUGUCCUUUUUUUUUUUUUAAUCGUGAUAACUUAAAGUUUUCUUAAAAUUAGAAAGAAACUAGUUUUUAAGGUAACUUAAUUGACGUGUUUUAAUAAUAAUCAAUCGUUUAGUAUAAUAGGAUUGUCAUAAUCUGUAGUGUUGGUUUCGUUAAAUAAUUUAUUACCGUUUGUUAUUCCUAUGUAAAUUAUAACUGUAAAUGUUUCAGCAUAUCCUUAAUAAAUUUUCACCCUGUUUUCAUAAAUUAGUAAAUAUUUAAAUAAGUUACCCAUCCUUUGACUCCGUUCGCUUAUAAGUUUUCAAUAGCUGAAGCAAUUUUGAUCAUAUCACUUUAAUAGAAUGGUUCUAUAAUCAACAAGAAACUAACAAAUAAUGUUUUUGUUUUUGUACACCGACCAAGGUAUUUUUUUUACCAAACAAAACUUCAACUAUUCAUUUAAAAAGAAGUAUACUGAUAUUACCUUAUUUUGAAUGAAAUCUACACGGAAACGACAACUAUUGCGAACUGCCCCAUGACAUUCUACGCCUUGUGCACCUAUACCUACCAUAUAAAUUACGUAACGUAAAAUCACUCUCGAGACUGACAUUUCUUGUUUUGUCAAUGUUCAUUGACGGUACUCAACCUGUUCUUUACGCCAACACAUACAACUUUUGUCAAUCUACUAGUUAAAUUUUUUUUUUUCCUAUAUAUCGUUCAUGCAACGUAAACUUCGAUGUUGCGGAAAAAAAUUUCCAAUAAAUAUAAGGUGUUAACACCAUAAAUUUAACCUAAAAUAUUUUGAAAUGUUUGCAAACAUACAUUCACAUCAACAAGGGACUGGACAUACACGUCAUAUUUUUCUUAGCACUUUCACUAGUGAGAUAAUAAAACAAAAACGACUUUUCCUCUUCAAUGUUAACAAUUCUCAAGCAAAUUAUAUGGAUUUGUUAAUUGUAAGUAUGCAUUUUUUUAAAAAAAUUAUUAAAAAAAACAAACAUUUGCUCUAAAUUCACAUAAUAGUAUUUAGGCAUAAAGAAUAAAACAUUUACUUGUAGUUCUCUUUUCUAGUCACGGCACGGCAAAAAUUGUUUUGGAAUACUUGACCACACCGUGAAAAAUUUUCUAGGUGUCAAUCAAAAUUUCCUAAAAAUUUUUUUUUUUAAUUCGUUACAUGUACUUUCUUUUUUCGUUGUAGUAAUUUAAAAAACUACUUAGCCGCAGUGUAGACUGGUAAACGAAUGUAAAUCGACUAUUAAUAAGAA